rnacentral:rRNA from 1 species
GACGAACGCUGGCGGCGUGCUUAACACAUGCAAGUCGAACGGAAAGGCCCUGCUUUUGUGGGGUGCUCGAGUGGCGAACGGGUGAGUAACACGUGAGUAACCUGCCCUUGACUUUGGGAUAACUUCAGGAAACUGGGGCUAAUACCGGAUAGGAGCUCCUGCUGCAUGGUGGGGGUUGGAAAGUUUCGGCGGGUGGGGAUGGACUCGCGGCUUAUCAGCUUGUUGGUGGGGUAGUGGCUUACCAAGGCUUUGACGGGUAGCCGGCCUGAGAGGGUGACCGGCCACAUUGGGACUGAGAUACGGCCCAGACUCCUACGGGAGGCAGCAGGGGGGAAUAUUGCACAAUGGGAGGAAGCCUGAUGCAGCAACGCCGCGUGCGGGAUGACGGCCUUCGGGUUGUAAACCGCUUUCGCCUGUGACGAAGCGGGAGUGACGGUAAUGGGUAAAGAAGCACCGGCUAACUACGUG